CAACAUAUCCUCGUAGACGCUUCCUCUCUCAAUCGGUGCAAAAAUGAUCGCAAAAUAUCCACGAAAACUAAUCACAAGUUUCACAAACUUAUCAAUACAUAUUCAUCAAUGAAUAAACGCAAAAGGAAAACAAAACGGAAACACCGCCGCCCGUGGAGUCGACUCCACUCCGUGCGGCGAUAAUAAAAUAAUAAAAACAAAUCCGCGCAGCCAUCGGUCGGAUAGCGGGGACGCAUUGGCCGGAAAUGACAAAAAAUAUUGCCAACUGUAACUGUCAUUCCAUUUCGAAAUUCGAAAUUCGCGCAGAGAUGUCAUUCGUCAACAAAAUGCGGCAAUAUCCAGCCAUAAGUAUAAACCAAAUUAAAAACCACCAGCAAAUACUCGUACUGCCAAACAAGCAAGCAGAGAAAAAAUUUGCAAAAAAAUAAAACACAGAGCAAAUAUUAAACACUCCAAUAUUGCAAGAGCAAGUAAAAUAUCAGCGGAAAAAGCGGAAAUUCGUUUAAAAACUGCGCACGAAUAUUAAAUUUUCAACGACAUCAUCGAAUUAGUAUUCGGCGAUGAUAAUCCGCGAUGUACGAAAAUACAAGCGACGAAACAAUACGAGAAAUAAGAGAAAAACUCAACAAAACGGAAACGAAACGAAUGCGUUUCCAGUCUCAAGAAGCAAAUGGAGAAAAUGGAAAUUUCCUAAAGUGGAAGUCUCAUAGAAGAGAUAAAGUCGAACGAGCCGAGGUCCACGUCCACGGAAAUGCCGAGCACAAAACGAAGAAAAAGCGCAAUUUCUCCGCGCGGCGCGCCGACUUGAAAUCGAACAACAAAAGCCGCCCGAGAACGAAUGACAUCCGCAAAUAAAUGCAAUUUAUCAAUUUGAGCCUUCUACUUAACCGCCAAGCACUGGUAGUUAAUUUAUAACCACAAACUUACACAAAAAAAAACAACUAAAUAUCAGCAGAUAA